rnacentral:rRNA from 1 species
UACGGAGGGUGCGAGCGUUAAUCGGAAUUACUGGGCGUAAAGCGCGCGUAGGUGGUUGAUUAAGUUGGAUGUGAAAGCCCAGGGCUUAACCUUGGAACUGCAUCCGAUACUGGUCGGCUAGAGUACGGUAGAGGGAAGUGGAAUUUCCGGUGUAGCGGUGAAAUGCGUAGAGAUCGGAAGGAACAUCAGUGGCGAAGGCGACUUCCUGGACUGAUACUGACACUGAGGUGCGAAAGCGUGGGUAGCAAACAGG